rnacentral:sRNA from 2 species
CCAGCACCCCCCACCACCUGCCCAACAAGGUCGUUGGGGUCUCCUUCAACGACCCGUCCUAAAACCUUUCCAUCCUUCCCGUAUAUUCUGCCUUCAUCACCCACCUCCAACCCCUUCAAUUUUGGCAAGUCAACAGGACCAUGACCGGCUCCCUUUUUUGCUGCAGUAGUCAUUUCCCCUGGUGAUUUUGGAGACAUGAUCGAUGGCGGCUUACGUUUGGCGUGGCCCGGCAUUUCCUCUAGCUUGGAUUUAUUUUUUGAAACACCGGAUCUGUCCGUCCUUGUCGGUGAUGGAGUAGAUGGCCCUGCCGGGACGGUGGGACGUGAUGCCAUUGUUGCCAUAUUGAGAGAAUAGCUGCCAAAGGCAAUGGCAGUCUGAUAAGUAGUCAAAUCGCGUAAGGGAACAAGGGACCGAAAUAAAGGACUGAGCCUUUAUUUGUCAACACGGAUAUAUAUGUCAAAAAGGGUAUUUUGCCCGGUGAGGCUCAAGAUAAUGUGAAAAUAGGGAAACGGGAUAAGCUUAAGGGUAAGUACGAUGUUGAAGUAAAGGGUUGAGAGGUUGAAUUUGAAAUAAAGAUACGAAUGCAAUAGUCAUUAAACAGAAAAAUUAUACGUAUAUGUAUGUAUAUAUCAACCAACGAUCAUCAAGAAAUAUCACACAGCACCACC